GAUGAACGCUGGCGGCGUGCCUAAUACAUGCAAGUCGAGCGAACAGACGAUGAUAUUUCUCUACUGACGUUAGCGACGGACGGGCGAGUAACAAGUGGAUAACCUACCUAUAAGACUGGGAUAACCUCGGGAAACCGGAGCUAAUAACGGCAAAUAUACUGCACCGCAUGGCUCAAUAGUGAAAGUCGGUUUUUCUGUCACUUCUAGAUGGAUCCGGGCCGUAUUAUCUAGUUGGUAAGGUAACGGCUUACCAAGGCAACGAUGGAUAGCCGACCUGAGAGGGUGAUCGGCCACACAGGAACUGAGACACGGUCCAGCCUACUACGGAAGGCAGCAGUAAGGAAUCUUCCGCAGUGGGCGGAAGCCUGACGGAGCCACGCCGGGUGAGUGAAGAAGGUCUUCGGAUCGUAAAGCUCUGUUAUUAGGUAAGAACAAAUGUGUAAGUAACGAUGCACGUCUGGACGGUACCUAAGCAGAAAGCCACGGCUAACUACGU
rnacentral:rRNA from 1 species